rnacentral:rRNA from 1 species
UACGUAGGGUGCGAGCGUUAAUCGGAAUUACUGGGCGUAAAGCGUGCGCAGGCGGUUUUGUAAGCCAGAUGUGAAAUCCCCGGGCUUAACCUGGGAAUGGCAUUUGGGACUGCAAGGCUGGAGUACGGCAGAGGAGACUGGAAUUCCUGGUGUAGCAGUGAAAUGCGUAGAUAUCAGGAGGAAUACCGAUGGCGAAGGCAGGUCUCUGGGCUGACACUGACGCUCAUGCACGAAAGCGUGGGGAGCAAACAGG